rnacentral:tRNA from 1 species
AUGUAGCUCAGUGGUAGAGCACUUGCCUAGCACGUAUGUGUCUCCUGGGUUCACCCCAGCAU